AGAGUUUGAUCCUGGCUCAGGACGAACGCUGGCGGCGUGCCUAACACAUGCAAGUCGAACGGGGUCCAUGGGAGCUUGCUCCCGGAAGACCUAGUGGCGAACGGGUGAGUAACACGUGAGAAACCUGCCCUGGAGUGGGGAAUAACUCGGGGAAACUCGAGCUAAUACCGCAUACCCUCGGAUGGUCGCAUGGCCGACCGAGGAAAGAUUCAUCGCUUCAGGAGGGUCUCGCGGCCUAUCAGCUAGUUGGUGGGGUAACGGCCUACCAAGGCAACGACGGGUAGCUGGUUUGAGAGAACGAUCAGCCACACUGGGACUGAGACACGGCCCAGACUCCUACGGGAGGCAGCAGUGGGGAAUCUUGCGCAAUGGGCGAAAGCCUGACGCAGCAACGCCGCGUGCGGGAUGACGGCCUUCGGGUUGUAAACCGCUUUCAGCAGGGACGAAAAUGACGGUACCUGCAGAAGAAGCCCCGGCUAACUACGUGCCAGCAGCCGCGGUAAUACGUAGGGGGCAAGCGUUGUCCGGAUUCAUUGGGCGUAAAGAGCUCGUAGGCGGUUCAGUAAGUCGGGUGUGAAAGCUCCGAGCUCAACUCGGAGAGGCCACCCGAUACUGCUGUGACUUGAGUCCAGUAGAGGAGCGUGGAACUCCUGGUGUAGCGGUGGAAUGCGCAGAUAUCAGGAAGAACACCUGCAGCGAAGGCGGCGCUCUGGGCUGGAACUGACGCUGAGGAGCGAAAGCGUGGGUAGCAAACAGGAUUAGAUACCCUGGUAGUCCACGC
rnacentral:rRNA from 1 species